GCCCCCUUAGCUCAGGUGGAUAGAGCACAGGUUUCCUAAACCUGGUGCCGCAUGUUCGAGUCAUGCAGGGGGCACCA
rnacentral:tRNA from 2 species